rnacentral:rRNA from 1 species
AGAGUUUGAUCAUGGCUCAGGAUGAACGCUGGCGGCGUGCUUAACACAUGCAAGUCGAACGGAAAGGCCAGUGCUUGCGCUGGUACUCGAGUGGCGAACGGGUGAGUAACACGUGGGUGAUCUGCCCUGCACUUCGGGAUAAGCUUGGGAAACUGGGUCUAAUACCGGAUAGGACCAUUGGUUGGUGCCUUUGGUGGAAAGUUUUUCGGUGUGGGAUGAGCUCGCGGCCUAUCAGCUUGUUGGUGGGGUAAUGGCCUACCAAGGCGUCGACGGGUAGCCGGCCUGAGAGGGUGUACGGCCACAUUGGGACUGAGAUACGGCCCAGACUCCUACGGGAGGCAGCAGUGGGGAAUAUUGCACAAUGGGCGCAAGCCUGAUGCAGCGACGCCGCGUGGGGAUGACGGCCUUCGGGUUGUAAACUCCUUUCGCCAAAGACGAACGUGGACGGUAUUUGGAGAAGAAGCACCGGCUAACUACGUG